rnacentral:tRNA from 1 species
UGACGUGUAGCUCAGCGGUAGUAGCACCCGACUGUUAAUCGGGAAGUCGUAGGUUCGAUCCCUACCACGUCAGCCA